rnacentral:lncRNA from 1 species
CCGAGGAACCGAGGACCCCAGCAGUGAGUCUGCUGCCCCAGUGUCUGGUCGGAGCUACCCAGAGGUGAGUGGAAUAACUCUUAUGUUUUUAAAUAAAUAAACCAGUUUUAGCAUGAUUCACGCAUCAUGAAUGCCAUGAGAUAUAAUAGGGUGCUUGCAUUAGAAUUCACGAAUAUGUUGCAUUGCAUAUUAUGUUGAUGAUGCGGAUGAAUGUUGAAUGAUCCUUUAGUCCUCCUAUGUUAUGAUAUGAUGAUGAUACGGUACGGAAGACCAGUGAG